GAGGAGGUGGACGAGGAUCUUGAGAUGGAGACCCCGUCUGGGAAGAAUGUUAAGGACUCUCCUACUCCAGAUUUUGCAAGUCGUAUUAAUCGGUUAGAGGAGCAGGUUAGCCAGGGAAUACAAUUACUUGUUGAUCAAGCACCGACUAAACGACGGGGACGUCCUCCAAAGGGUAUGGAACGCCCGCGCGUCCCACAACCUUUGGAAGAUAGCAUAAAGAAUCGACUCCGUCAUGCGGAGG
rnacentral:lncRNA from 1 species